CUCAAACUGACCUGAGGCAAGUGCAGACCUGCUGUUAGAGAAGAUAGCAUGGGAGCAAUCCAUUUGUUCCUGACCCUGGGGACUCUUAAGACAGACUGAGUUCUCUCACAUCCGGGCAACCACCAACUUGUGCUGGUGAUUGAUUAAGCCUUUGGGUAUUGUAUACAUCAACCAGUUGCAGCAGGCAAGGGAUGGAGAAAUGAGGCCUCUGGGAAUGAAAGUGUGGAGUCAGCUUUGGGCAAAUGGAAAUUGAAUGGAAGGAGCAUCUCAGGAAGAAGGCUAAGAAGGCAAAACAGAGCUUGCAUUGCAGGAGGCAGACUUCAGACCAGGCUUAGGGUGAGGGAACAAAGACGUCUCAGUGCCCCGGCUGAGAAAUUGGACAAGAAAGACGGGACCCGUGCUCCCCUACAGGAGGUGGGCUGAGGGCAGAGCUGUUUGCCUGGCAGAGGAGGAGCAAACAGCCAUGUUGUAAAUGGCCUCUGAGGAGGACUGGCCUCUAGGAGUUGAGGACCUCAAGCCUACAUCUGCAAGGAAUUGAACGAUGCCAAGAACCCGAACAAACUCUGAAGAUGAGAAUGCGGCCCUGUGCCAAGACUGGCUGCCUUCCCCUGUUUCUGUACCACACUGGUUCCUGAAGCUAUUUGAGUUUGAGACUGCUGGGGUAACCUGACCCACUUCAAGGAUCUGAAAGUAUUUUACAGUUGGUUGAAUCCAUGGAUGUGGAACCCAUGGAUGUGAAGGACUGACUGUACUUUGCACUAGUGGUUCUCAAAGUGUGGGCCCUGGACCAGUGGCAGCAGCAUCACCUGGGAACUUGUGAGAAAUGCACUUUUCAGCUCCUGUUUCAGAUGGACCUAUCAGAAUCUCUGCAGGAACAUUUUGAAGUCCCCUCAUAUACAAUGAAAUGAUAGAUUUGUCAACACAGAUAAAUCUCAAAAACACAAUAAGUGAAGAAAGUAAGUUGCAGAUGGAAAUAAUAUGUGAUGGUCAAACAAUCUAGAUGUUUCCGUGAAGGUGUUUUUGGAUGAGACUAACAUUGACAUUGGUGGACUUUGAGUAAAGCAGGUUGCCUGCGUGCCAUAAUGUGGGUAUUCUCAUCCAAUCAGUUGCGGGAUUUAACAGAGCAAAGACUGAGGUCCCCUGAGAAAAUAGGAUUCCACCAGCAGACAGCCUUCAGCCUUGAACUGCAGUGUCACCUCUUCACUGGGCCUCCCAACCUGCUGACACUUUGAUCUUGGACUUCUAGCCUCCAUAACUGUGUGAGCCAAUUCCCUAAAAUAAAUCUCUCUCUGUACACAUUCUAUGGUUAUGUUUCCCUGGAGAACCCUGACUAAUACACAGUAUAACACAAUUUAACAUAAAGUUUAAAAUAAUGCAAAAUAGUCCUAGGAAAGGUUUUAUACAUAUGUAGUAAAACUUUCAUGGGAGUGGUAAGCACCAAAUUUAGGGCAGCAGUGACCUCUGGGGGGGUGGGGGUGGAAUUCAAUCAGGACAGAGUACAAGGGGAGUUUCAAUUAUAUCUAAAAUCUUUGAUUUCAGGUUUUAAAAAAAGGUUUUUUAACAAAUAACACUGAGUUGACAAUGCUGAGUAUUAGGUGGCUUUUUAUGUGUUAAAAAUAUUUCAUAAUUAAGAACAGAAUGAGAUCGAUCGCAUAAAUAAAAUCAACUUGGAAAAGAAAACUAGCACAGUGGCUGAUACAUCUUGGGACCCUGACAGACACAGGGAGAGACUGGCUGGGACAAGUUUGAUGGAGAAGGCAGGUCAGAGCGAGGGCAGGCGGUAUGGAAGUGUGGCCUUAGGGAACAGUGGGCGGGGUGACUGCAGAGGUCAUGUGGACGCAGUCCCAGUCACCCAGGUGGCUCUCCAACAGGCCCUGCGUGUUUACCCGAAGGUGGCCCUGCACAGACAGUUAUCCCCGACUUUCCUCUGACAAGAUAUUUCCUGGGCACUUGCCAACAUCAGAGGAAUCUAAGUUCCUCAGAAAUUCGCGUGGGACCUGUUGAGGCUUACGGCAGAUCACAGGUGCUCCUUUCCUAUCCCAGGCGUGGCUGCUGCAGCAGGUACUGUCACUGCUCUGACCCAUCCUCUUUUUUUUUUUGGAACUAUUUUUUUGUGUCCCCACGUUCCAUGUGCAUUCACUCCCCACAGCUGGGCCCUGUGGCUCAUUUGUGGAGCAGUGCCCUAGGGCCCCAGAGCUUGACUUACUGGCUCUGUCUGACAGCUGGGGGCAUGAAAGCCCAGCGCCCUGGCUUGGGGGUGGGGCAGCCCUGAGGUGGCUCCCUUGCUUGGUCUUCCCUCUGUGUCCUGCCUCCCUGCCUCUUGCGGGUUUCUCCAGGAGCACUUCCAUACUACGUGGCCCACAAGAGAACCCUAGGCUUGGGCUUUGCGUCUCAGGAAUCCAAUCUAACAUAAGUGUUCUCCUCAGCCUCAUGCUUUUCCUCCUGGAAAACCUCAAGGUCAAACUGUUUUGAGCUUUAGUCUGUCGAGAGUGGACCCGGGCAUACAGACUCUGGAAUCCAACUACCCACGUUAAAGGUUUUGUCUCUAUCACUUCAACCUGUGAAUCUUGGAAAAGUUAUUUAACUGGUGCUGUGUAUCAGUUUCCUCAUCUAUAAAAAGGAAUCAUACAAGGAAUGGCCUCAUAGGGUUUUUGUGAGGUUAAAUGAUUUAAGAUGUGCAAAACCCUCAGAACAAAUUCUGGCAUAUAGUAUGUGCUCAAUAAAUUCCAGUUUUCUUAAUCUCCACUGGAACUAAGGGACACUUACGGGCAAUAAAGGGAUAGAUAUGCUUUACCCCUUGGCCCAGGCUAAUGUAACGAAGGGAACAAACUAUUCUCUGUUGUCAGAAACAUAACCUCAAUUGAUUCCAGUGGGACGUAAUGGACAGUUUAGUGUGUUGUUGCCAGGAUGGAUGUGUCUGAUGUCCUACUGGAAGAAUCAUGAAAGAAUCCUCAACCUUACACUGCCUGAAAUGCCACCCCAUUCUCCAACCCCAAGCUGGCUGAGGAGCAGGGAGGUGGGAUUCUGGGAGGCUGUGAGGAUCUAGAGGAUACAGCUACGGAGAACAUGCUGGGUUCCUUGAGCUGCUAAGCACUGAAGUCCCACCAAUGGUGACGAAGGUCUAAGGAGAACAUUGCAAUUGCACAAAAUGAUCCUUGGAAAUUCUUUAGAAGGGCACCAUCUUGGAGACCCAGAAUCAAUAAAACCAGCAUGGCUGGGAGUUUUCUCCAGCAUUUGAAUAAAUUGUUGUUUCUUUGGUUGAACCAUGAUGAGAUAAUUGGCUUAAACCAGGAGUCAUGCAUGGUAUCUGGAAACUUCCUCACUUGAAUCACCAGCAUCAUACUCAGCAUGCAUAAUCCUCUCAUCAUGAGAGGCACAGGGGAAAUGAGCCAGCCUGUCUGGAAAGGAAGCAAAUGCAUGCUUUCCAUCUCCCACUCAGUACUGGACAUGAAGCUAUGUCAUCACCACUUAAUGCCAGCACCACUUAAAUGAUGUUUCUCUCUCUCUGCCCUGUACUUGCUGGAGGCACAUGCCCAUAUCACGUAGGGUGUCAGGGCAGAGAGCUCUUAGGAAGAGCUGAGCUGUGGGGACUUCCUCCCACGCAGAAGAGGGAGGCCUCUGCAGAAUUCUCUGCCAUGUGCUUCUAGGCUUCCUCAACUCAGAAAUUUUAUUAUAGAGUUUUAGAAUGUGAAGAGCUCUUGGAAAUCAUGAAAGAUGAAGAAUCAAGAUGGAAGUUUGAUGGCUUGUCCCAGGCCCCAGAGUGGACCCUUUGCUUUUUGGAAUCCAACAGCAAGGACUCAUGGGAAUAUCGUGGGAUUUGACUUGGAGAGACAGGGCUCAAACCUCAUCUUUGUCACUUAGUGAUUGUGUAAUUCUCUAAAAGUCUAUUUGUAGAAAAGGGAUAAGGGAGCUUUCUUUCCUGGAUUUCAAGAUGAUUAAAAGAGAUGUAUGUAUAAAGGGAUGCUCAGUUGUCUGAGCUGAGAUGACUGCAAAGUCACUGCACUCCUCUUACAAUGCCUGACAGGUGCUUCCAUCUUUGGGAGGUGUGGAGCCCUUGACAGGCACGUCAGCAGGGGGCAUUUGGGAGGGCAGCCUGCGAGGGUGAGGGGAUGCCAGUGGGCCAUACUGCAGAGGCAGAAACUUGGGGGAGGGGUCACAGGCGGUCAACUGAAGAAGGGGCUUGUGCCUGCAGAUGCUCCAAGAGGGGAGUCUAAGAGGAAUCCAGAAAAGUGUCCCCAAGAGAAAGAAUCUGACUUUAAUGUUAGCCGGACCCAGA
rnacentral:lncRNA from 10 species